rnacentral:rRNA from 1 species
AUUGAACGCUGGCGGCAGGCCUAACACAUGCAAGUCGAGCGAGCGGCGGACGGGUGAGUAAUGUCUGGGGACUGCCUGAUAGAGGGGGAUAACUACUGGAAACGGUGGCUAAUCCCGCAUACCAUCGGAUAGCCCCUAUGGGCUUAGCUAGUAGGUGGGGUAAUGGCUCACCUAGGCGACGAUCUCUAGCUGGUCUGAGAGGAUGAACGGGCACACUGGGACGGAGAAAAGGCCUAGACGCCUAAGGGGGGAGCAGAGGGGGAUAUUGCAGCAAGGGCGAAAGAGUGAUGCAGCGACGGCGAGGGAGGGAUGAAGGCUUUAGGGUUGUAAACGUCUUUAGGGGGUAGGUGGAGAAGAAGCACCGGCUAACUACGUGCCAGCAGCCGCGGUAAUUC